UACGUAGGGUGCGAGCGUUGUCCGGAAUUAUUGGGCGUAAAGGGCUCGUAGGCGGUUUGUCGCGUCGGGAGUGAAAACCAGGUGCUUAACACCUGGCUUGCUUUCGAUACGGGCAGACUAGAGGUAUUCAGGGGAGAACGGAAUUCCUGGUGUAGCGGUGAAAUGCGCAGAUAUCAGGAGGAACACCGGCGGCGAAGGCGGCCCCCUGGCCCGCAACUGACGCUCAUGGUCGAAAGCGUGGGGAGCAAACAGG
rnacentral:rRNA from 1 species